GUGCAUUCUUAAAUCCUCUUGGUAGCAUGGCUCGAGUUGCUUCCAAGAUAUGAGCAAAUGCUAUAGAAAUUGCAAGGGAGUCCAAAGGGCCUCGCUCUUCCUGUGGCUAGGUCUUAUUUCAUACCUGCGAUAUUU